rnacentral:lncRNA from 1 species
AAGACACAUUAUUUCCACAUGGGAGAACUAGAAAGGAUCUGAUCUUGUCUCAAAUUGUACUCCUGGUUCCUAGAAAUACUCUUGCUAGGAGAUAAGGAAUAUGGUGUAACCAUGGAUGUCCCCUGGGUGUUCUGGAUUGAAUGAAAUCCUCCUUCUCUACCAUGAGAGUGGUCGUAGAAUAAAAAUUCCAGAUGGGCUAAUCAUAACACAAACAUUCACUGAGGUUUCAAGCUGGGACAUCUGGGAGAACAGCUAUGGAGCAAAAUGCUAAAAAGAAAAGGUGCAUUCAUCCUAACUGGGACAGCUUUUACCCCGGAGUGGCCAGGGAAGUGCUGUCUUCAUUUGGCCAGCAAUAAUUAAUGGCAGGAAUUCCCAGCCAGUCCACCCUUGGACCUGAAGGCUUCUCUCGGAUAGCAGGCAGAAAACCUGGCUUUAAAAGAGGAGCUCAGACAGGAAGCAGCAAUCUUCCAGGAGGAUUUCUGAGUCAAGCAGGAGAGCAACUGGCUUCUUGAAGUGUGAAUUUCAAAGAUCCCUAAAACCCUUGGCUGCACAGUUGGAGCAGGACUGAAGAACCAGCACCCCAGAGGACCUGCAUGUCCCCAGCACUUGUACCUUGAGUCAUGGCUGAGCUGCACAAGCCUCUUCAGAGUGAGAAACCUCCAUGCUGGGGUCGGCUCUGAAACAGCUGAUUUGUGUCAACACCAAGUCCAGGCUGCUUUUGAAAGUGUCUCAUGUCUGUGCCUGAGCUCCCAAUCCCAUCUGAGACACCAAGGUGUGCUCAGAAAUAGUGUAACAACAGGAGGGACAGCAGGUGAGUGUGUGCAUGGGGACAUUGCUGUCCCUGGGUCCUGUUAAAGGCCUCGGUGUGCUGCAGCCACUGCAAGCAGCUCUAUAAAUUAGCAAUUCCUUUAACAGCUGUGUGCACAGCUGGGGCUAGAUCCCUUUGGUGGGCAGAAGAGUGAUGUGAGCUGUGAGCAUGCUGAGUAGGGUAGAAAGGGGGUUUGUGUGGUUUUAUUCACUAAGGGAUUGAUAAGCUAUUCAGUAAAGGCUUAUGGGGGAAAGUGAGUGCACUUGUGAUGGAGAUUGUGAUUUCUUUUUUCCUUGUUAUCAAUACUCUGUCCAGUCUGCCAUGGGCUUUCCUCUGACCCUGCUGCUCAUAUACUUUUGCAUUUCCUCUGUCAAUUAGGCUAAAAUAUGAGGGAAAAGGCAAGAGAAGGGCUCUUGUCAAGUGGUUCUCCCAGGGUUAUGAACACAGGUCUUAAAAACUGCCUCAUUAAAUCUCCCUCUCAAGGCCUUUCAGAAUGUUUCUGAUUUAACUGUUUUGCAUCAUACCAUUCCAAUUUUAAUUUCUUCCGGAGGUGAGAUGCUGCUAUAUUUGCCAAAUAUCAUUUCAUCUUAUGUGUUACAACAACCACUGACCUUUCCCUUUUUCUGAAGGAUGGUACUUUUGGCACACCCAGGAAGCCAGUCCAUAAGACAGUGUUUUUCUGCCCUUUUGAAUCCUGCCAUUUCCAGGCAGUAGGAGUUCACAGUGAGAGUAAACAUGUGGAAGCCACAGGAAUCUUUAAAUUGUGUCACAAAGUUUCUGUUUGCAUUUAAUUUUAUAAUUAUAUAUAUAUAUAUGUAUAUAUAAUUUAUUUAAAUUUUAA